AUGUUCACUGUUAUAUUCAUGUGUCUGUGGCUUUCACUAGGUGACUCCAUGGCAGAUUCAAUACAGCCACUUUCCCCUCGUGAAGUUGUAGAUGAAGGUGUUAAUGUUACUCUGUCCUGCAAAUACGAAAUCAAAAGUGCUACAGGAAACAACCUGCAGUGGUACAGACAAUAUCUAAAAUCUAAACCCGAGUUUGUUCUCUAUAUUACUCCAAGUGGAACUCUGAGUCCCAACCCUCCCCCAAGAAUGUCUGCUAAAGUUCCUGGAGAUAAACGAGUGGAUCUGCUCAUCUCCUCUGCUGCUGUAUCAGACUCUGCACUAUACUACUGUGCUCUG